GGCUCAGUAGUGUAACGGUUGCACGCCUUCUUUUCAAUGCGCCAAACAAAGAUCUCUGCUAGAGGAAGUCCUGGUUCGAAUCCGGGCUGAGCCA